rnacentral:rRNA from 1 species
GAUGAACGCUGGCGGCGUGCCUAAUACAUGCAAGUCGAGCGAACAGACGAGGAGCUUGCUCCUCUGAUGUUAGCGGCGGACGGGUGAGUAACACGUGGAUAACCUACCUAUAAGACUGGGAUAACUUCGGGAAACCGGAGCUAAUACCGGAUAACAUGUUGAACCGCAUGGUUCAACAGUGAAAGACGGUCUUGCUGUCACUUAUAGAUGGAUCCGCGCCGCAUUAGCUAGUUGGUAAGGUAACGGCUUACCAAGGCAACGAUGCGUAGCCGACCUGAGAGGGUGAUCGGCCACACUGGAACUGAGACACGGUCCAGACUCCUACGGGAGGCAGCAGUAGGGAAUCUUCCGCAAUGGGCGAAAGCCUGACGCAGCAACGCCGCGUGAGCGAAGAAGGUCUUCGGAUCGUAAAACUCUGUUAUUAGGGAAGAACAAAUGUGUAAGUAACUAUGCACGUCUUGACGGUACCUAAUCAGAAAGCCACGGCUAACUACGUG